rnacentral:rRNA from 1 species
GUGUAUCAGUACAUGGCAUAUCAAUAAGCGGAGGAAAAGAAACUAACAAGGAUUCCCCUAGUAACGGCGAGUGAAGCGGGAAGAGCUCAAAUUUGAAAUCUUAAAGGGUUUCCCUUUACGAGUUGUAGUUUAAAGAAGUGUUUUCCGUUGGAGUUUCGGUAAAAGUUCUUUGGAAUAGGACAUCAUAGAGGGUGAGAAUCCCGUAUUUGACCGUUACUUUCCAGCUUUGUGAUACACUUUCAAAGGGUCGGAUUGUUUGGGAAUGCAGUCCAAAAUGGGUGGUAAAUUUCAUCUAAAGCUAAAUAUUGGCGAGAGACCGAUAGCGAACAAGUACCGUGAGGGAAAGAUGAAAAGAACUUUGAAAAGAGAGUUAAACAGUACGUGAAAUUGUCAAAAGGGAAGCGUUUGACACCAGUGUUGUUUAGUUGAAAAUCAAUUCAAUAAUUUGUGAUUCUGAGUAGUAUUGACUUCAUCAGCUUGCUGCUUUCUUCUCAUAAAUUAUUUAAUGCACUUUUCAGUUAACAAGUCAACAUCAAUUUCUUUUGUUGUAAAAGGGUAAGAGGAAGGUGGCUUGCGCUUCGGCUCAAGUGUUUAUAGCCUUUUAUCUCUGCAAUCGGAGAGAUUGAGGAUCUGCAGCGUAGACUCCUUCGGGGUUAGAUACAUUUGUGCUAAGCUAUAGCCUUGUAUAGACAACUUGUUGACUAUGCUCAGUCAUGUAGCUUACUCGCUUAUGCUAUUUUACCUACGCUUAGGAUGUUGACAGCAGUAUAGACUGU